rnacentral:rRNA from 1 species
UACGGAGGGGGCUAGCGUUAUUCGGAAUUACUGGGCGUAAAGCGCACGUAGGCGGACUGGAAAGUCAGAGGUGAAAUCCCAGGGCUCAACCUUGGAACUGCCUUUGAAACUCCCAGUCUUGAGGUCGAGAGAGGUGAGUGGAAUUCCGAGUGUAGAGGUGAAAUUCGUAGAUAUUCGGAGGAACACCAGUGGCGAAGGCGGCUCACUGGCUCGAUACUGACGCUGAGGUGCGAAAGCGUGGGGAGCAAACAGG